rnacentral:rRNA from 1 species
GGYUGGURGAUUWAAUUYCAGGUCGCCUGCCCAAKGAGUUAUUWAAAKGGUGCGGUUUUUGCCCGUCAAAGGURGCWUAAYCUUAGUUUUUUAAUUGAAAGCUGGAAUGAAGGGUUUGAUGAAAAAGUACCUGUCUCUGUAAAAAUUGAUUAUAAUUUUAUUUUUAAGUGAGAAAGCUUAAAUUUUAAUAGAAGACGAGAAGACCCUAUAGAGUUUUAUAUUUUUUUAUUAAAUAAAUUUUUUAGUUAAAGUAAUUUUAUUUAAUAAAGAAUUAUUUUGUUGGGGUGAUAGAAAAAUUUAAUAAACUUUUUUUUUAUUUAAACAUUAAUUUUUGAAUUUUUGAUCCUAAGUUUAAGAUUAUAAGAUUAAAUUACCUUAGGGAUAACAGCGUAAUCUUUUCUAGAGUUCUUAUCGAAGAAAGGGGUUGCGACCUCG